GAAAUAUUUUAAUUUCACAUAUUUAAAUUAAAUAAAAUCUAAAAUAUUGUAAAUAAUUAUUAAAUAAAUAUUUCUAAAUGAAGAAUUAAUGAAUCAUAUAAAAUUAAUAAAUAAAUGAAAAUUUAUAUUAUAUAUAGAAAAUAAAUAUAAAUAAAUUUUAGUGCCAGCAAUUGCGGUUAUACUAAAUAUAUAAUUUAAUUUUAAUUAAUUAAGUAAAAUAAAUUUGAUUAUAAAAAGUAUUAUCUUAAUAAUGAAAUAUUUAAUAUUAUAUAAAAUAAUAAAAUUAAAUUAUUAAAUCUAAAUAAAUUUAAUUAAAAACCAGGAUUAGAUACCCUGUUAUUUAAAUUAAAUUAAAAAUUAAAUAAUUAAAUGUGUAAAACAUUAAAAUUAAAAAUUUUGGCUGUAUUUAAUUAAAUUAGAGGAACCUAUUAAUUAAUUUGAUAAUACACGAUAAGAACUACUUAAUUUUAACUUAUGUACUGCCGUUUAAAAAUUAAUUCAAAUAAAAGUAAUUUAAAUCUAAUUUUUAGAAAUAAUUCAGGUAAAAGUAUAGAAAUAAUUAAGAUCUUUAUGGGUUACAAUAUAUUAAAUUUUUGAGAUUUUAAUUUUAAAAUUAAAAUAAAAGAGGAUUUAAGAGUAAAUUUAAUAAAUUAAUUAAAUUGAAUUUAUUCCUUAAAUAAGUACAAAUUGCCCGUCAUUUCCAAAAUUAGGAAAAAGUCGUAACAAAGUAAGUGUACCGGAAGGUGUUCUUAAU
rnacentral:ncRNA from 1 species